rnacentral:rRNA from 1 species
UGGGGAAUUUUGGACAAUGGGGGCAACCCUGAUCCAGCGACGCCGCGUGGAGGAUGAAGGUCUUCGGAUUGUAAACUCCUUUUGGAGGGGAUGAAUGCCCUGGUGAAUAGCCAGGGGUGACAGUACCCUUCGAAUAAGCCACGGCUAACUACGUGCCAGCAGCCGCGGUAAUACGUAGGUGGCAAGCGUUACUCGGAAUCACUAGGCGUAAAGCGCAGGUAGGAGGUUUGGUAAGUCUGUUGUGAAAGCUCCCGGCUUAACUGGGAGAGGUCAACGGAAACUACCAGGCUAGAGUGCGGUAGAGGAAGGUGGAAUUCCCGGUGUAGCGGUGAAAUGCGUAGAUAUCGGGAGGAAUACCUAUGGCGAAAGCAGCCUUCUGGACCGUCACUGACUCUGAUCUGCGAAAGCUAGGGGAGCAAACAG